rnacentral:rRNA from 1 species
GACGAACGCUGGCGGCGUGCCUAAUACAUGCAAGUUGAGCGCUGAAGGUUGGUACUUGUACCAACUGGAUGAGCAGCGAACGGGUGAGUAACGCGUGGGGAAUCUGCCUUUGAGCGGGGGACAACAUUUGGAAACGAAUGCUAAUACCGCAUAAAAACUUUAAACACAAGUUUUAAGUUUGAAAGAUGCAAUUGCAUCACUCAAAGAUGAUCCCGCGUUGUAUUAGCUAGUUGGUGAGGUAAAGGAUCACCAAGGCGAUGAUACAUAGCCGACCUGAGAGGGUGAUCGGCCACAUUGGGACUGAGACACGGCCCAAACUCCUACGGGAGGCAGCAGUAGGGAAUCUUCGGCAAUGGACGAAAGUCUGACCGAGCAACGCCGCGUGAGUGAAGAAGGUUUUCGGAUCGUAAAACUCUGUUGGUAGAGAAGAACGUUGGUGAGAGUGGAAAGCUCAUCAAGUGACGGUAACUACCCAGAAAGGGACGGCUAACUACGUG